AUGUGCCGCAGCAACCGCGCCGGGGCGGGGCUAGACCUGAGGGGCGGGCCUAGGGCUGCUCGGCUUCCGGUCUUCCGCCUGCGGUCGGGUUUUCGGGCUUCCAGACCUCGGUGUCACUCCAGAGACAGCUGUGGUUUCCAGGAGACUUCGUUGUCGUGGGUUUCCGAGAAGCUGGCCUUGCACACACCACGGCCUGCCGGGACCCUGUCCUGGUUUGUCCCGAAGUGCGAUUUGGCGCCGUCCGAAACCAGAGCCCGCACCUGGCGGCCCAUUCGGGCUCCGGAAGCUUGCUUCCGCAGGACUUGGCAUCAGGAAAUUUGUAACGUGCCCCAGAAGACGCUCACAUGCACCUGCGCGGGACUUGAACGUCAUCCCAGUAACAAGGAAGAUGCUCGCAGGGACUUUAGGCAUCCAAGUCUUGAGGUUAGAUCAGCUGUUUUAGAAAUCAGCUCUAGGAAGAAAAAUCAGAGGGACCUGCAUGCCAACCGCAAGGCGGACAGGGCGCUUCAAGAGCAACUCAGCACCUCACCAGCUCAGCCUGCUUCCCUAGUGUGGAGGGCCUCUGGAAAGGACAAUCUCCCUUCCUGCAGUGUGCAUUAGUGUUAUCAAAACAAAAUAAAACCUUGUAUCACAUGUAAAAGGUGGUCCCCAGACUUUUGAUACAGACCAAAGACAUGGGAAUUGGGCCGUUUUUAUAAAAAUGUGUAUCUCAUUUUAAAUAAGAGAUUUACAGACUGAAGUUUGUUACCAAAGUGAAAGAGAGUUAUACACUUGAGAGAAGAGGUAGAUGAGUACGGGACAGUAUAGGUGGCUAGCAAGUAUUUGUUUGAUGGAUCAUCGAUCCACCCGGCUCCUGACUCCAGGAGGGAGAUACAUCUACUUAAGAAUUUGUGAGCCCUAAGAAAGGACACUAGGUUUCUUUUCAGCCCUCUCGAAGUUCAGGUUCCUUAUCAAAUCUCCAAGCACAGCUUCCCACCUCUCCAACCCUGAUCCUGGAAGAGGAGCAAGAAACCACUGCAGGAGGCAUGCCCCACCUUCUUUCUGGAGUUCUGGGAAGGCACUCACCUGAGAUUCUAGGAAGGCAUGGCCCCUUUUCUGUUUUUUUUUUUUUAAAGCUUUUACAAUUUUAUUAGAAUUUUAAAGAAAAAUCCUCAGGGCAGGUGAGCUAGUAAUCUUGGCGGUUGCCUUGAGGAGAAUGGAGGUAGACUGGCAGCCACAUGGCUGGGAGAAGGAAGCUUUAGAGAAAAUAAUACAAGAUGCUAGGGGUAGCCCAAAGCCUUAAAGCAGGUUAGAAAAGGGAUAUGGAGGGGCUGGAGAGAUGGCUCAGCAGUUAAGAACACUGUUCUUGCAGAAGACCUGGGAUUCAACCCAGCACCCAAAUGGCAGCUAACACCUGUCCAUACUCCAGUCCCAGGGGAUCCAACACAGGUGUACUUACCUACAUGCAGGCAAUACAUGCAUACACAUAAAAAUAAUACAAUUUCAAAUAAAAAAAAGGGAUAUGGAGAAGAAACAAAAAUAUUACACUUUUCUGAAUUCAGAAACUCAGACUAUAUAGAGCUAGCAAGA
ensembl:lincRNA